AAGUCGUAACAAGGUUUCCGUAGGUGAACCUGCGGAAGGAUCAUUAACACGUAUCCAAACGUUAAAACAACCCUGUGAAUAUUGAAUCUCAGUUCCCCCAGGGCAGAAAAAUGGGCUUCCUCUAGUAAAUCAUUGUCUUAACAAGGUUUUGAGUUAGAGGAUGGCGCACGAGUAGCACCUGUAUUGGGUCGAGCGUUUACAACUAUCCACUCCUGGUGCCCCCAAGCAACCAUCAAUCUGAAAGUGUUUGGUUGGCCCCACAGGGAGGUAACGACCCCCGGUCGAUGGCCGUGUGGACCACCGAUCGUUGACUGCGCUGCCCUUGCACAAUUCACGUUCAUUCAGGUUGAACAUGAUGCAUGUCUACCGCGCCCGACGAAAGUCCGACGCACCCCUAACCGAACAACUGUUAACAAUGGAUAUCUUGGUUCUC
rnacentral:misc_RNA from 1 species